rnacentral:tRNA from 1 species
UCUGUUAACGAGGCUACAACUCGCCG